CAAGCAGUUGUUAACCGAGCCCGUCGGUACCUAAGUCCAGCAAGGGAUAUGGUCGUCGGGCCGUGGCAUCAGGCCACCGGGGUAGAUUGAGAAAGUUAAUCUGCCUUCCUCUAUUUUAGGAAAGGUGACACAUGCGAGAGCU
rnacentral:ncRNA from 2 species